AUGAACGCUAGCUACAGGCUUAACACAUGCAAGUCGAGGGGCAGCAUGGUCUUAGCUUGCUAAGGCCGAUGGCGACCGGCGCACGGGUGAGUAACACGUAUCCAACCUGCCGUCUACUCUUGGACAGCCUUCUGAAAGGAAGAUUAAUACAAGAUGGCAUCAUGAGUCCGCAUGUUCACAUGAUUAAAGGUAUUCCGGUAGACGAUGGGGAUGCGUUCCAUUAGAUAGUAGGCGGGGUAACGGCCCACCUAGUCUUCGAUGGAUAGGGGUUCUGAGAGGAAGGUCCCCCACAUUGGAACUGAGACACGGUCCAAACUCCUACGGGAGGCAGCAGUGAGGAAUAUUGGUCAAUGGGCGAGAGCCUGAACCAGCCAAGUAGCGUGAAGGAUGACUGCCCUAUGGGUUGUAAACUUCUUUUAUAAAGGAAUAAAGUCGGGUAUGCAUACCCGUUUGCAUGUACUUUAUGAAUAAGGAUCGGCUAACUCCGUGCCAGCAGCCGCGGUAAUACGGAGGAUCCGAGCGUUAUCCGGAUUUAUUGGGUUUAAAGGGAGCGUAGAUGGAUGUUUAAGUCAGUUGUGAAAGUUUGCGGCUCAACCGUAAAAUUGCAGUUGAUACUGGAUAUCUUGAGUGCAGUUGAGGCAGGCGGAAUUCGUGGUGUAGCGGUGAAAUGCUUAGAUAUCACGAAGAACUCCGAUUGCGAAGGCAGCCUGCUAAGCUGCAACUGACAUUGAGGCUCGAAAGUGUGGGUAUCAAACAGGAUUAGAUACCCUGGUAGUCCACACGGUAAACGAUGAAUACUCGCUGUGUGCGAGAUACAGCAAGCGGCCAAGCGAAAGCGUUAAGUAUUCCACCUGGGGAGUACGCCGGCAACGGUGAAACUCAAAGGAAUUGACGGGGGCCCGCACAAGCGGAGGAACAUGUGGUUUAAUUCGAUGAUACGCGAGGAACCUUACCCGGGCUUAAAUUGCAGAUGAAUUACGGUGAAAGCCGUAAGCCGCAAGGCAUCUGUGAAGGUGCUGCAUGGUUGUCGUCAGCUCGUGCCGUGAGGUGUCGGCUUAAGUGCCAUAACGAGCGCAACCCUUGUUGUCAGUUACUAACAGGUCAUGCUGAGGACUCUGACAAGACUGCCAUCGUAAGAUGUGAGGAAGGUGGGGAUGACGUCAAAUCAGCACGGCCCUUACGUCCGGGGCUACACACGUGUUACAAUGGGGGGUACAGAGGGCCGCUACCACGCGAGUGGAUGCCAAUCCCAAAAACCUCUCUCAGUUCGGACUGGAGUCUGCAACCCGACUCCACGAAGCUGGAUUCGCUAGUAAUCGCGCAUCAGCCACGGCGCGGUGAAUACGUUCCCGGGCCUUGUACACACCGCCCGUCAAGCCAUGGGAGCCGGGGGUACCUGAAGUGCGUAACCGCGAGGAGCGCCCUAGGGUAAAACUGGUGACUGGGGCU
rnacentral:rRNA from 1 species